rnacentral:rRNA from 1 species
CAAUAGCGUAUAUUAAAGUUGUUGCAGUUAAAAAGCUCGUAGUUGGAUUUCUGGUUGAAGCGACCGGCCGGGCGUUGAUUCGUCUGCACUGGAGUCGGUUUUGGCCAUCCUCUAGGAAAGUGCGUCUGGUAUUAAGUUAUCGGGCGUAUGAUCCUGGUCUUUUACUGUGAAAAAAUUAGAGUGUUUAAAGCAGGCCUUCGCCUUGAAUACAUUAGCAUGGAAUAAUAAGAUAGGGCUUUGGUCUAUUUUGUUGGUUUGCAGACCGAAGUAAUGAUUAAUAGGGAUAGUUGGGGGUAUUUAUAUUCCGAUGUCAGAGGUGAAAUUCUUAGAUUUUCGGAAGAUAAACUUAUGCGAAAGCAUUUACCAAGGAUGUUUUCAUUAA